rnacentral:sRNA from 21 species
UCACUGACGAAAGGCCCCUCCUCCUCCCUGGGCCGAUCGUGACGGAACCGCCGCCUCCUCCUCCCUGCGGCCGUUCCAAACUGACGCGGCGACCCUACCUCCUCCCGGGGUUUGCCUGCU